rnacentral:lncRNA from 1 species
UCGCCGGGUACCGACACAGCUUUAAUGCUGAGCUCCCUGCAGCCCCGCGGGGCUGCCAAUCACACAUAGUACUGCAGCCCGAACUUCUCGUUGUCCAUCUCAGCAGGUGGGCGGAGGUAGUAGAGCUCAUCCACCGUCGGGGGCACCCAGCGGUCGGUGUGGAACAGGGACUCACCGACCUUCCAACCGGGGACGUCCUUCAUGAUCUUGGCCUCCUCGUCCAGGUUCUGCCGCAUGAGGCGGAGGGUUCUGCGGUCCGCCUCCGCCUGCAGCAGCGGCAUCAGCGCGAUGCGCGCCUCCAGGUCCUCAAUCAGCAGCCGCCUGCGCUCCCGGUUCCACUUGAUGAUGGUGUAGUAGCCCAGCAGGAGGCUGCCGAUGCCGAGCGCGAAGAGGCUGUAACCUGAGAGGCCGCGGCGCGGGAGGUGCCGUUUGUAGUCGAUGGGGCCGUAGCCGCCCGGCGGGGGCAUGUCCUGCUUCACCUUCGGCGCCGCCAUCCCAACCGCCGCGCGCUACGUCACUUCCGC